rnacentral:rRNA from 1 species
CAGCAGCCACGGUAAUACGUAGGGUGCAAGCGUUAAUCGGAAUUACUGGGCGUAAAGCGUGCGCAGGCGGUUUGUUAAGACAGAUGUGAAAUCCCCGGGCUCAACCUGGGAACUGCAUUUGUGACUGGCAAGCUAGAGUGUGGCAGAGGGGGGUGGAAUUCCGCGUGUAGCAGCGAAAUGCGUAGAUAUGCGGAGGAACACCGAUGGCGAAGGCAGCCCCCUGGGCCAACACUGACGCUCAUGCGCGAAAGCGUGGGGAGCAAGCAGGAUUAGAUACCCCAGUAGUCCCUGUCUCUUAUAC